rnacentral:sRNA from 1 species
UAGAUAGGUCCACAUAGUAUAAUAUAACUGUGGAAUUUGUCAUAGUUGGAAACUGACAUUAAUUUUUUUUGCCAAAAAUGUUUAAAAUUAGUAUAAUAUAUUUAUUUGUGUGUGUGUGUGUGUGUGUGUGUGUUUGUGGUUAGGGACUGACCCCAGGGCCUCAUGGAUGUUAGGCAAGUUCUCUAC